UGCAUCUCUUCGUUGAGCGAUCGAGACAGCGCGACGGAGAUCGUCCGACGAGAGGGCGAUUCCAUCGCCUCAAAUGGAGCUUCCACUAAUUCGAUCUCUUUCAAGAAACAAGAAAGAAGAACGUUGAUUGCCCUCGUUCGAUCUUAGGAUCCAUCUUUCUCCUUUCGCAGCUCGGUUGUGACCACCAAAUCCCUCGCGGCGCCCGUCAAAUCAGCCAUCGACAAGAUCCAGCUCCGCGCCGCCUUCUUGAGGGUGCGAGGGCUGGUGAAGCAACCCAUCGAUUAUUUUCAUUACUUCGUCAACCAUGAAAUCAAGAACAUGAAAGCCAUCGAUCUCCUCGUCUGCCGUCAUGAGCCCGGCUUCUAUCACAGCCAAACACACGACGUUUGCAAGCAGUGUGGAGAUUAUUCGCCGGCUGCAGACAGCCUUCUGUCCAAUGUACAGAAAAUGAAGAUUGUUUGC